GCGCCAGUGUUGUAGGGGUAUCAUGCAAGAUUCCCAUUCUUGCGACUGGGUUCGAUUCCCGGCUGGCGCA
rnacentral:tRNA from 1 species